CUAAGAAUAUUCCGCAAUGGACGGAAGUCUGACGGAGCGACGCCGCGUGGAUGACGAAGGCCGAAAGGUUGUAAAGUUCUUUUGCUGGGGAAGAAUAACCGCAGGAGGGAAUGCCUGUGGGAUGACAAGAACCGGCGAAUAAGCCCCGGCCAACUACGUGCCAGCAGCCGCGGUAACACGUAGGGGGCGAGCGUUGUUCGGAAUUACUGGGCGUAAAGGGCAUGUAGGCGGCUUGGAAAGCCUGGCGUGAAAGUCUGCAGCUUAACUGCAGGGGUGCGCUGGGAACUGCUGAGCUUGAGUGACGGAGAGGGAGCUGGAAUUUCUGGUGUAGGGGUGAAACCUGUAGAUAGCAGGAAGAACACCGAUGGCGAAGGCAAGCUCCUGGCCGAUGACUGACGCUGAGGUGCGAAAGUGUGGGGAUCAAAC
rnacentral:rRNA from 1 species